rnacentral:rRNA from 1 species
UUAAGCGACUAAGCGUACACGGUGGAUGCCCUGGCAGUCAGAGGCGAUGAAGGACGUGCUAAUCUGCGAAAAGCGUCGGUAAGGUGAUAUGAACCGUUAUAACCGGCGAUGUCCGAAUGGGGAAACCCAGUGCAAUUCGUUGCACUAUCGUUAACUGAAUACAUAGGUUAACGAGGCGAACCGGGGGAACUGAAACAUCUAAGUACCCCGAGGAAAAGAAAUCAACCGAGAUUCCCCCAGUAGCGGCGAGCGAACGGGGAGCAGCCCAGAGUCUGAAUCAGCUUGUGUGUUAGUGGAACGGUCUGGAAAGUCCGACGGUACAGGGUGAUAGUCCCGUACACCAAAAUGCACAGGYUGUGAACUCGAAGAGUAGGGCGGGACACGUGGUAUCCUGUCUGAAUAUGGGGGGACCAUCCUCCAAGGCUAAAUACUCCUGACUGACCGAUAGUGAACCAGUACCGUGAGGGAAAGGCGAAAAGAACCCCGGCGAGGGGAGUGAAAAAGAACCUGAAACCGUGUACGUACAAGCAGUGGGAGCACCUUUAUGGUGUGACUGCGUACCUUUUGUAUAAUGGGUCAGCGACUUAUAUUCUGUAGCAAGGUUAACCGUAUAGGGGAGCCGCAGGGAAACCGAGUCUUAACUGGGCGUUAAGUUGCAGGGUAUAGACCCGAAACCCGGUGAUCUAGCCAUGGGCAGGUUGAAGGUUGGGUAACACUAACUGGAGGACCGAACCGACUAAUGUUGAAAAAUUAGCGGAUGACUUGUGGCUGGGGGUGAAAGGCCAAUCAAACCGGGAGAUAGCUGGUUCUCCCCGAAAGCUAUUUAGGUAGCGCCUCGUGAACUCAUCUUCGGGGGUAGAGCACUGUUUCGGCUAGGGGGUCAUCCCGACUUACCAACCCGAUGCAAACUACGAAUACCGAAGAAUGUUAUCACGGGAGACACACGGCGGGUGCUAACGUCCGUCGUGAAGAGGGAAACAACCCAGACCGCCAGCUAAGGUCCCAAAGUCAUGGUUAAGUGGGAAACGAUGUGGGAAGGCACAGACAGCCAGGAUGUUGGCUUAGAAGCAGCCAUCAUUUAAAGAAAGCGUAAUAGCUCACUGGUCGAGUCGGCCUGCGCGGAAGAUGUAACGGGGCUAAACCAUGCACCGAAGCUGCGGCAGCGACACGAUGUGUUGUUGGGUAGGGGAGCGUUCUGUAAGCCUGCGAAGGUGRCCUGUGAGGGUUGCUGGAGGUAUCAGAAGUGCGAAUGCUGACAUAAGUAACGAUAAAGCGGGUGAAAAGCCCGCUCGCCGGAAGACCAAGGGUUCCUGUCCAACGUUAAUCGGGGCAGGGUGAGUCGACCCCUAAGGCGAGGCCGAAAGGCGUAGUCGAUGGGAAACAGGUUAAUAUUCCUGUACUUGGUGUUACUGCGAAGGGGGGACGGAGAAGGCUAUGUUAGCCGGGCGACGGUUGUCCCGGUUUAAGCAUGUAGGCUGGUUAUCCAGGCAAAUCCGGAUAAUCAAGGCUGAGGUGUGAUGACGAGGCACUACGGUGCUGAAGUAACAAAUGCCCUGCUUCCAGGAAAAGCCUCUAAGCAUCAGGUAACAUCAAAUCGUACCCCAAACCGACACAGGUGGUCAGGUAGAGAAUACCAAGGCGCUUGAGAGAACUCGGGUGAAGGAACUAGGCAAAAUGGUGCCGUAACUUCGGGAGAAGGCACGCUGGUGUGUAGGUGAAGYCCCUGCGGRUGGAGCUGAGACCAGUCGAAGAUACCAGCUGGCUGCAACUGUUUAUUAAAAACACAGCACUGUGCAAACACGAAAGUGGACGUAUACGGUGUGACGCCUGCCCGGUGCCGGAAGGUUAAUUGAUGGGGUUAUCCGUAAGGAGAAGCUCUUGAUCGAAGCCCCGGUAAACGGCGGCCGUAACUAUAACGGUCCUAAGGUAGCGAAAUUCCUUGUCGGGUAAGUUCCGACCUGCACGAAUGGCGUAAUGAUGGCCAGGCUGUCUCCACCCGAGACUCAGUGAAAUUGAACUCGCUGUGAAGAUGCAGUGUACCCGCGGCAAGACGGAAAGACCCCGUGAACCUUUACUAUAGCUUGACACUGAACAUUGAGCCUUGAUGUGUAGGAUAGGUGGGAGGCUUUGAAGCGUGGACGCCAGUCUGCGUGGAGCCAACCUUGAAAUACCACCCUUUAAUGUUUGAUGUUCUAACGUWGGCCCCUUAUCGGGGUUGCGGACAGUGUCUGGUGGGUAGUUUGACUGGGGCGGUCUCCUCCCAAAGCGUAACGGAGGAGCACGAAGGUUAGCUAAUCCUGGUCGGACAUCAGGAGGUUAGUGCAAUGGCAUAAGCUAGCUUGACUGCGAGCGUGACGGCGCGAGCAGGUGCGAAAGCAGGUCAUAGUGAUCCGGUGGUUCUGAAUGGAAGGGCCAUCGCUCAACGGAUAAAAGGUACUCCGGGGAUAACAGGCUGAUACCGCCCAAGAGUUCAUAUCGACGGCGGUGUUUGGCACCUCGAUGUCGGCUCAUCACAUCCUGGGGCUGAAGUAGGUCCCAAGGGUAUGGCUGUUCGCCAUUUAAAGUGGUACGCGAGCUGGGUUUAGAACGUCGUGAGACAGUUCGGUCCCUAUCUGCCGUGGGCGCUGGAGAAUUGAGGGGGGCUGCUCCUAGUACGAGAGGACCGGAGUGGACGCAUCACUGGUGUUCGGGUUGUCAUGCCAAUGGCACUGCCCGGUAGCUAAAUGCGGAAGAGAUAAGUGCUGAAAGCAUCUAAGCACGAAACUUGCCCCGAGAUGAGUUCUCCCUGAGACUUUAAG